rnacentral:tRNA from 1 species
UCCCGGGUGGCUCAGAGGUUAAAGCGUCUGCCUGCAAUGUGGGAGACCUGGGUUUGAUCCCUGGGUCGGGAA